rnacentral:lncRNA from 1 species
CUCCUUGGUGCCCGAGGCCUCCCGGGGCUUCCGUGCCUUCUUUGCCCCAUCUUUUUGCUUCGGCUCCUUGUGCUCCUUGGCCUUCUUCGGCUCCUUGGCCUUUCUGGGUUCCUUUGGCUCUUUCGGUUCUCGUUUCCUCUUUGGCUUGGGCUCUCUGUCCUUGCUUCCCUUUGCUGCACCCUCUUGGUCUCCUGGCUCCUUUUUCUUCCGUUUCUUCUUCACUCCAGUACCUCCUCCUCCACUGUCCUCCAUCCCAU